CGUCCCUGGUGUGGUGGAGUCUGGCUGUUGGACCAGAGGAGAUCCGGUCAGCUGAGAGGAGGCUCCUGAAGAAGACCUUCCCAUACCGGACCAAGGAGCAGGCCCGGAGGCAGCAGAGGUUCCUGUGGAAGUUCGCCUCCUCUCCAGCCUUCAGUGAGAAGUCCAGGUAUGGAUCGUACCGCUUCACCUUCAGGGUGGAGGAGGUGCUGGAGGCCUACAGCGAGCAGUCUGGUCCUUGUACCUGACCACAAAGCACCAAACACAUGGGAGGAACCAGUGCUGCAAAGAUAAUUUUGCUUCGGUGCUCCACCCGUCUUGCGAGUGUUCAAGACCUCCCUGUACAAACAGGAAGUGGUGUAUACUGUGCUGGUCCACAGACCGCACGAUGACGGGCGCUUCUCCGAGUACCCCGAGCUUCCCGAUGACGACCCGAACGCCGUCUGUGCUUACAGACGAGAAGAAAACAUCUUCAUCUGGAGACCAGAGGCCAUGUGUGGGACACACUGGUAUGAGCUGGACUACAGACCUGAGGACAACCUGAUGGAAGCCUGGGAGCUGGAUGAUUGCCCACAGUAUUAUGUUUGGGAUCACGUCGCCCUCGCCCUGCAUGUGGAGAGCGGACAGGUGCUGAAGUUCGACUCCGAUCGACUGAGACAGAACCUCAAGUUCUGUGAGCGAGACGACGUGACCAUCGCACCGAAAUUCUACUUUGAUGAUUGUGAGGAAGCUCAGAGCGUUAUCGAAAGUCUGUGGCCCGAGUCGUCACUGGAGAAGAACUUUGCAGGUCUCUCUCUUUAGGGGAAGAAAACCCCACAGCAGUGUUAAAGAGGCCUCAAGACUCGGUGCUGUGAGGCAACGAUCGGGUUUAACUUCUGCAAACUUUUCCUUUUUUAAAGAGACCAAACGUACACACUGCUGUGCAAAAAGCUUGAGGCACCUCGAUAAGAAGCAAACUAGUGAGAGAGCUGCUUAAAGUCUUAUUGAUGCUGUCAAGGAUAAGCCGCGCUGCUGAAGCAUCAGCGCCUCUGUGUGAGCGCACUGUCACUGUCAAAUCAUCAGCAACACUGGACGUUGUCACUCUGUCCUGUCUGCAGGAGACCAGUCUGCAAAUUUAAGAUUAGAAGACAUUUCAGAAAGUAAAGCUAUAUACAGUAUUAUUAUUAUUACGACUGUUACUGUAGUUAUUCUUAUGGGUGCUGUGUGAAAUUUAGGGUGACCACCUUUAUUCUCAGGAAUCCUUCUCCAGGCUUCCUGAAUUCAUUCAGAGCUCUUCUUUGUAUGUUUCUGCCUUUUGUCAUGUGAUAUGUGAUUGUUGGGGUUUCUCAGUAUCACUGUGGGGUUUUUCCUUGCAGUGUGAAACACCUCGAGGUUACUGUUGUUGUGAUUUGGUGCUAAAGAAAUACAACGAUGAUCUCACACUGCUUUGGAAAUGCUGAUGUUUCCUCUGAGGAGGCCGAUCCAUGACUGACGGUGUGUUUGGGAUCGUUGUCGUGCUGAAAACUGAGACUCUGGCCAAUCAGAUGCUUUCCAGACUGCUGGUAACAAAGUGUCUGAAGAUACAAUUUAAACAGCUUCUUUGAUUGGUCGUCUGUUACGUGUAAAAACGACACUGGUUCAUGUGGGUGGGGUUUCUCCACUUCUAUGCUCCAUCACGGUGGAGGUUAUACAUGUAACAGUGGAGGGGCGGAGACAGAAAAACUGCUUCACAUGCUUCGCUUUUGCAUUUUAUUAGUUGAUUUCAGAUAUACGACUUCCUGUAAUACCACAGAUACAUAAUUAUGUAUGAACAUGUAUGAUUAUGUGUUUUUAUGCAGUGUGUUCAUGUGCCUGAAUUUCAUACACAUUUCUACCUUUUUAUACAAUAAGACAAUAAAGUUCUUUUGAAUCUGAAUUUGUGUAUUUAUUAAGAGAACAAUCGUACAAUUAAUUAUAAACACAAAGAUUAGUUUAUUUAUAUUUCUAGAAUAAUAUUGAAAAGCUCUGAGACAUAUUAAUCUAAUUUGAUUGACCCCACCUUGAAGUUGGACCUGUGGGCGGG
ensembl:lncRNA